GUGUCAGCAGCCGCGGUAAUACGAAGGGGGCGAGCGUUGUUCGGAAUUACUGGGCGUAAAGGGCGCGCAGGCGGCUCUGAAAGUCAGAUGUGAAAGCCCCGGGCUUAACCUGGGAAUUGCAUUUGAUACUCUGGAGCUUGAGUGUGGGAGAGGAGAGUGGAAUUCCCAGUGUAGAGGUGAAAUUCGUAGAUAUUGGGAAGAACACCGGUGGCGAAGGCGGCUCUCUGGACCACAACUGACGCUGAGGCGCGAAAGCGUGGGGAGCAAACAGGAUUAGAUACCCUGGUAGUCC
rnacentral:rRNA from 1 species